rnacentral:rRNA from 1 species
AGUGAACGCUGGCGGUAGGCCUAACACAUGCAAGUCGAACGGCAGCACAGUAAGAGCUUGCUCUUACGGGUGGCGAGUGGCGGACGGGUGAGGAAUACAUCGGAAUCUACUUUUUCGUGGGGGAUAACGUAGGGAAACUUACGCUAAUACCGCAUACGACCUACGGGUGAAAGCAGGGGAUCUUCGGACCUUGCGCGAUUGAAUGAGCCGAUGUCGGAUUAGCUAGUUGGCGGGGUAAAGGCCCACCAAGGCGACGAUCCGUAGCUGGUCUGAGAGGAUGAUCAGCCACACUGGAACUGAGACACGGUCCAGACUCCUACGGGAGGCAGCAGUGGGGAAUAUUGGACAAUGGGCGCAAGCCUGAUCCAGCCAUACCGCGUGGGCGAAGAAGGCCUUCGGGUUGUAAAGUCCUUUUGUUGGGAAAGAAAAGCAGCAGGUUAAUACCCCGCUGUUCUGACGGUACCCAAAGAAUAAGCACCGGCUAACUUCGUG